UUCAGGCUUGCAUUGCUGAAAAUGAAGCAGAUAGGCAUGUUUCAAACUUGCAGGGGAUACCUGUUCUUGGUAGGAUAGGGGCUAAUGACAGAACUGUUCAUCCAUUUUCUCUAAGGAGGAUGUACAGACGAUUGAAGGAGGAGAAUGUGAAUGUAACAUACAAGGAGUUACCUGGAAAAGAGCAUUGGUGGUGGGAUACCUGGUAA